GGAUAUUCCAAAAAUGAGAAAAGUCUCUUUUCCCCAUGGGGGUCUGGUGUGCAUGGCUGCAAACAGCAGCCCUCUUGGUAGUACAUGUAGCCUGCUGCCUGUAUAGACUGCCCUCAGGGACCCUGGAGACAGCC
rnacentral:snoRNA from 1 species